ensembl:lincRNA 4930504D19Rik RIKEN cDNA 4930504D19 gene
AUAGGCCUAGAGGAGCCCUGCCCUUCUGAGUGGAGGGUGGAGAAGGGUCACCUUAGAAACGUGGCUGAGCUCUCAAACCAGCCGGAUUUGUAGGCAGAGUGCUGGGGACAAUGAAUAUCAACCAGAAGGUUCUAUGGGCUUCGAAGCUGUGAGAGUUAAGAUUGUCAAUUUGACAAAACAGAACAUCACCAAAGAGUCUCCUCUAGGCGUCUCUGAGGGAUUUUCUAGAUCAGAUCAGCUGAGGAGAGAAGACCCAUUCUAAAGGCACAAGGUGACAAGCCACCUCAGGCUCGUACUGGUGUAUCUUCCUCAUCGCCAAUCGUGAGCUACAAUAAAGCCUGCCUUCCUC